rnacentral:rRNA from 1 species
GACGAACGCUGGCGGCGUGCCUAAUACAUGCAAGUAGAACGCACAGUUUAUACCGUAGCUUGCUACACCAUAAACUGUGAGUUGCGAACGGGUGAGUAACGCGUAGGUAACCUGCCUGGUAGCGGGGGAUAACUAUUGGAAACGAUAGCUAAUACCGCAUAAUAUUGAUUAUUGCAUGAUAAUUGAUUGAAAGAUGCUAUUGCAUCACUACCAGAUGGACCUGCGUUGUAUUAGCUAGUAGGUGAGGUAACGGCUCACCUAGGCGACGAUACAUAGCCGACCUGAGAGGGUGAUCGGCCACACUGGGACUGAGACACGGCCCAGACUCCUACGGGAGGCAGCAGUAGGGAAUCUUCGGCAAUGGACGAAAGUCUGACCGAGCAACGCCGCGUGAGUGAAGAAGGUUUUCGGAUCGUAAAGCUCUGUCGUAAGAGAAGAACGGGUGUGAGAGUGGAAAGUUCACACUGUGAC